AACGAACGCUGGCGGCAUGCCUAACACAUGCAAGUCGAACGAGACCUUCGGGUCUAGUGGCGCACGGGUGCGUAACGCGUGGGACCCUGCCCUUAGGUUCGGAAUAACUCCCCGAAAGGGGUGCUAAUACCGGAUAAUGUCUUCGGACCAAAGAUUUAUCGCCUUUGGAUGGGCCCGCGUUGAAUUAGCUCGUUGUUAGGGUAAACGCCUACCAAGGAGACGAUCCAUAGCUGGUCAGAGAGGAUGAUCAGCCACACUGGGACUGUGACACGGCCCAGACUCCUACGGGAGGGAGCAGUGGAGAAUAUUGGACAACGGGCUGAAGCCUGAUCCAGCAAUGCCGCGUGAGUUAUGAAGGCCUUAGGGUUGUAAAGCUCUUUUACCCGUGAUGAUAAUGACAUUACCGAGAGAAUAAGCUCCGGCUAACUCCGUG
rnacentral:rRNA from 1 species